AGCGAACGCUGGCGGCAGGCCUAACACAUGCAAGUCGAACGAAGUCUUCGGACUUAGUGGCGGACGGGUGAGUAACACGUGGGAACGUGCCUUUAGGUUCGGAAUAACUCAGGGAAACUUGUGCUAAUACCGAAUGUGCCCUUCGGGGGAAAGAUUUAUCGCCUUUAGAGCGGCCCGCGCCUGAUUAGCUAGUUGGUGAGGUAAAGGCUCACCAAGGCGACGAUCAGUAGCUGGUCUGAGAGGAUGAUCAGCCACAUUGGGACUGAGACACGGCCCAAACUCCUACGGGAGGCAGCAGUGGGGAAUCUUGCGCAAUGGGCGAAAGCCUGACGCAGCCAUGCCGCGUGAAUGAUGAAGGUCUUAGGAUUGUAAAAUUCUUUCACCGGGGACGAUAAUGACGGUACCCGGAGAAGAAGUCCCGGCUAACUUCGUGCCAGCCGCCGCAGUAA
rnacentral:rRNA from 1 species